UACGGGGGUGCGAGCGUUGUCCGGAAUCACUGGGCGUAAAGGGCGCGUAGGUGGUCUGAUAAGGGUGUGGUGAAAGCCCGGGGCUCAACCCCGGGUCGGCCGUGCCGACUGUUAGACUAGAGUGCUGUAGGGGCAGGCGGAAUUCCGGGUGUAGCGGUGGAAUGACGUAGAGAUGUGGAGGAAUACCGAUGGCGAAGGCAGCCCCUGGGAUACACUGGACGCUCAUGCACGAAGCGUGGGAGCAACAAGGAU
rnacentral:rRNA from 1 species